AUUGAACGCUGGCGGCAUGCCUUACACAUGCAAGUCGAACGGCAGCAUGGAGAGCUUGCUCUCUGAUGGCGAGUGGCGAACGGGUGAGUAAAGCAUCGGAAUGUACCGUGUAGUGGGGGAUAACGUAGCGAAAGUUACGCUAAUACCGCAUACGCGCUGAGGUGGAAAGCAGGGGAUCGUAAGACCUUGCGCUAUACGAGCGGCCGAUGUCAGAUUAGCUAGUUGGUAGGGUAAAGGCCUACCAAGGCGACGAUCUGUAGCGGGUCUGAGAGGAUGAUCCGCCACACUGGGACUGAGACACGGCCCAGACUCCUACGGGAGGCAGCAGUGGGGAAUUUUGGACAAUGGGGGCAACCCUGAUCCAGCCAUGCCGCGUGAGUGAAGAAGGCCUUCGGGUUGUAAAGCUCUUUCGGCCGGGAAGAAAUCGCACAGGCUAAUACCCUGUGUGGAUGACGGUACCGGCAUAAGAAGCACCGGCUAACUACGUGCCAGCCGCCGCAGUAA
rnacentral:rRNA from 1 species